rnacentral:rRNA from 1 species
GUAACAAGGUCUCCGUUGGUGAACCAGCGGAGGGAUCAUUACCGAGUUGAAAAACUCCAACCCCUGUGAACUUUACCUUUUAUGUUGCUUCGGCGGCACAGGCGCCUGCCCGCCUCGGCGGGCCGACCCGACCGCCGCCGGAGGUUCCAAACUCUGAUUUUUUUAGUGUAUCUCUGAGCCUAAAAACAAAUAAUCAAAACUUUCAACAACGGAUCUCUUGGUUCUGGCAUCGAUGAAGAACGCAGCGAAAUGCGAUAAGUAAUGUGAAUUGCAGAAUUCAGUGAAUCAUCGAAUCUUUGAACGCACAUUGCGCCCGCCGGUAUUCCGGCGGGCAUGCCUGUUCGAGCGUCAUUUCACCACUCAAGCCCAGCUUGGUGUUGGGGCACCCGGCCGCCACUCGGCUCGGUCCGGGGCCCCCAAGUACAUCGGCGGUCUCGCCGGGACCCUGAACGCAGUAACUUCGCCCCCAAAAAGGCAAGCUCGUUCGGCGGACUCCCGGAGGGUCACCGGCCGCUAAACCCCCUAAUUAUUCUUUAGGUUGACCUCGGAUCAGGUAGGAAUACCCGCUGAACUUAAGCAUAUCAAUAAGCAGAAGAAA